rnacentral:piRNA from 1 species
CAUGGACAUGACAUUUUUAAAGG